rnacentral:rRNA from 1 species
UGGGGGAUAUUGCACAAUGGGCGAAAGCCUGAUGCAGCGACGCCGCGUGGGGAUGAAGGCUUUCGGGUUGUAAACCUCUUUCGCUAUCGAACAAGGCCCGCUUAGGGUGGGGUGAGGGUAGGUGGAGAAGAAGCGCCGGCUAACUACGUGCCAGCAGCCGCGGUAAUACGUAGGGCGCGAGCGUUGUCCGGAAUUAUUGGGCGUAAAGGGCUUGUAGGCGGCUUGUUGCGCCUGCUGUGAAAACGCGGGGCUUAACUUCGCGCGUGCAGUGGGUACGGGCAGGCUUGAGUGUGGUAGGGGUGACUGGAAUUCCAGGUGUAGCGGUGGAAUGCGCAGAUAUCUGGAGGAACAACGAUGGCGAAGGCAGGUCACUGGGCCAUUACUGACGCUGAGGAGCGAAAGCAUGGGUAGCGAACAGG